rnacentral:rRNA from 1 species
CUACGGGUUGCUGCAGUGAGGAAUAUUGCACAAUGGGGGGAACCCUGAUGCAGCAACGCCGCGUGGAGGAUGACGCAUUUCGGUGUGUAAACUCCUUUUAUAUGUCAAGAAAAUGACGGUAGCAUAUGAAUAAGCACCGGCUAACUCCGUGCCAGCAGCCGCGGUAAUACGGAGGGUGCAAGCGUUACUCGGAAUCACUGGGCGUAAAGGACGCGUAGGCGGGUUGGAAAGUCAGGUGUGAAAUCCUACAGCUUAACUGUAGAACUGCACUUGAAACUUCUAAUCUAGAGUAUGGGAGGGGGAGAUGGAAUUAGUGGUGUAGGGGUAAAGUCCGUAGAUAUCACUAGGAAUACCUAAAGCGAAGGCGAUCUCCUGGAACAUUACUGACGCUAAGGCGUGAAAGCGUGGGGAGCAAACAGGGUUAGAUACCCCGGUAGUC